rnacentral:tRNA from 1 species
GUGUCUAUAGUUCAGCGGUAGAGCGCCAGAUUGUGGAUCUGGUUGUCGUGGGUUCGAUCCCCACUAGACACC